ensembl:lncRNA
CGUGGCCACGAACCAAAUGGACUGAGCAACUGUGUGGUUUAUUUAAUCUGGACUGCAAAUCCAUCACGUUCUCAAGUAAUCGAAUUGCCUGUGGAAUAAAGCCAAGAAUUCUGUUUGUUUUGCAAGCUGGAGAUUUCCUCCUCCUGCAGGAGUCAUCACAAACUCAUUAUGGGUGCAGAAACACAAGAUUUAAUGCACCUUUGUAGCAUCAGUAACAUCUCAGCAAACCCCCAAAUCUGCUUCAGACAGUUGAGCCUUCACACCCUCAACAAUACGAGGAGACACUGGAAAAGUAAAAAGAGAGCGCUUGAGCCCGACACAGAGAUACUUCACAGAGAUGGGAAGCUUAGGAGUUUGUCGUUGGAUAGUGAUGAUCUGCAAUGUCAUUCAGAGGCCAUGGUGCAUAACCACUUUGAUGAUCCAGUAAAAUGUGUGUUAUUCCACAGUUUUGAAGCCCUCAAGGCAAAUGCUUUACCACCCUAUGUCUCAAGCUUUGCCCUGGGGCCCGA